rnacentral:rRNA from 1 species
ACUUUAGCUUGCUAAAGUUGGAAGAGUUGCGAACGGGUGAGUAACGCGUAGGUAACCUGCCUACUAGCGGGGGAUAACUAUUGGAAACGAUAGCUAAUACCGCAUAACAGCAUUUAACCCAUGUUAGAUGCUUGAAAGGAGCAAUUGCUUCACUAGUAGAUGGACCUGCGUUGUAUUAGCUAGUUGGUGAGGUAACGGCUCACCAAGGCGACGAUACAUAGCCGACCUGAGAGGGUGAUCGGCCACACUGGGACUGAGACACGGCCCAGACUCCUACGGGAGGCAGCAGUAGGGAAUCUUCGGCAAUGGGGGCAACCCUGACCGAGCAACGCCGCGUGAGUGAAGAAGGUUUUCGGAUCGUAAAGCUCUGUUGUAAGAGAAGAACGUGUGUGAGAGUGGAAAGUUCACACAGUGAC